AUUGAACGCUGGCGGCAGGCCUAACACAUGCAAGUCGAACGAGUGGCGGACGGGUGAGUAAUGUCUGGGAAACUGCCCGAUGGAGGGGGAUAACUACUGGAAACGGUAGCUAAUACCGCAUACCAUCGGAUGUGCCCAGAUGGGAUGAGCUAGUAGGUGGGGUAACGGCUCACCUAGGCGACGAUCCCUAGCUGGUCUGAGAGGCUGACCGGCAACACGGGACCUGAGACACGGUCCGGACUCCUACGGUGGGCAGCAGUGGGGAAUAUUGCACAAUGGGGGCAAGCCUGAUGCGGCCAUGCGGCGUGUAUGAAGAAGGCCUUCGGGUUGGAAAGUACUUUCAGCGAGGAGGCGUUACUCGCAGAGGAAGCACCGGCUAACUCCGUGCCAGCCGCCGCGGUAAUAC
rnacentral:rRNA from 1 species